rnacentral:rRNA from 1 species
AUUGAACGCUGGCGGUAGGCCUAACACAUGCAAGUCGAACGAGUGGCGGACGGGUGAGUAAGGUCUGGGAAACUGCCUGAUGGAGGGGUAUAACUACUGGAAACGGUAGCUAAUACCGCAUACCAUCCUAUGUGGCCAGAUGGGAUUAGCUUGUUGGUGGGGUAACGGCUCACCAAGGCGACGAGCCCUAGCUGGUCUGAGAGGAGGACCUGCCACACUGGAACUGAGACACGGUCCAGACUCCUACGGGAGGCAGCAGUAGGGAAUAUUGGGCAAUGGGCGAAAGCCUGAUGCAGCCAUGCCGCGUGUGUGAAGAAGGUCUUCGGGUGGUAAAGCACUUUCAUCAGAGAGGCGUUACCCGCAGAGAAAGCACCGGCUAACUACGUGCCAGCAGCCGCGGUAAUAC